CUUCCUCGAUCUGCUGGGGGCAGAUGAAGUGAAUAUGGGCAUCCAUGCCGCCGGCGGUGAGGAUCUUGCCUUCGCCCGCGAUGGCCUCGGUGGAAGGCCCGAUGAUGAUGGUGACGCCGGGCUGGGUAUCGGGAUUGCCUGCCUUGCCGAUGCCGACGAUGCGCCCAUCCUUCAAGCCGAUAUCGGCCUUGUAGAUGCCGGUGACAUCGACGACGAGCGCAUUGGUAAUGACGGUAUCGACGGCGCCCUCGGCGCGCGUGCGCUGCGACUGGCCCAUGCCGUCGCGGAUG
rnacentral:sRNA from 1 species